GACGAACGCUGGCGGCGUGCUUAACACAUGCAAGUCGAACGGUGAAGCGCCUUCCUUUUUGGUUGGUGUUGAUGAGUGGCGAACGGGGGAGUAACAGGUGAGUAACCUGCCCCCUUCUUCUGGAUAACCGCAUGAAAGUGUGGCUAAUACGGGAUAGUCUUGGUCUGUCGCUUGAUGGGUCUGGGAAAGAUAUUGUUUCGGUUGGGGAUGGGCUCGCGGCGGAUCAGCUUGUUGGUGGGGUGAUGGCCUACCAAGGCGGUGACGGGUAGCCGGCCUGAGAGGAGGAACGGGCACAAUGGGACGGGGACACGGCCCAGGCGCCGACGGGGGGCAGCAGGGGGGGAUCUUCCGCAAGGGAGGGAAGGCGGACGGAGCAACGCCGCGGGGGGGAGGACGGCCGUCGGGUUGGAAAGGGCGGUUAAUCGGGGCGAAAGGCCUUCGUGCGAAUAGAUAGAAGGAUUGACGGUACCUAAAGAGAAAGCCACGGCUAACUACGUG
rnacentral:rRNA from 1 species